UCUUCAUUUUGAACACUCUCUCACCGGUCAGAGUGACAAGAGAGUGUGUGAAAUGAAGAGA
rnacentral:pre_miRNA from 1 species